CUAAGUUUGAUGGCGACCGGCGCACGGGUGAGUAACACGUAUCCAACCUGCCGAUAACUCGGGGAUAGCCUUUCGAAAGAAAGAUUAAUACCCGAUGGCAUAAUAGAACCGCAUGGUUGAUUAUUAAAGAAUUUCGGUUAUCGAUGGGGAUGCGUUCCAUUAGGCAGUUGGUGGGGUAACGGCCCACCAAACCUUCGAUGGAUAGGGGUUCUGAGAGGAAGGUCCCCCACAUUGGAACUGAGACACGGUCCAAACUCCUACGGGAGGCAGCAUG
rnacentral:rRNA from 1 species